rnacentral:rRNA from 1 species
CCUACGGGAGGCAGCAGUGAGGAAUAUUGGUCAAUGGCCGGAAGGCUGAACCAGCCAAGCCGCGUGAAGGACGAAGGUGCCAAGCAUUGUAAGCUUCUUUUGUCAGGGGACAAAAUCAGGCUCGAGAGCCUGACCGAGGGUCCUGGACGAAAACGCAUCGGCUAACUCCUUGCCCGCAGCCGCUGUAAUCCGGAGGAUGCGCGCGUUAUCCGGGUUUAUUGGGUUUAAGGGGUGCGUAGGCGGGCUGUUAAGUCAGCGGGAAAAGCCCGGGGCGCAACCCCGGCGAGCCGUGGAAACGGGCUGUCUUGAGAUGUGGAGAGGGAGGCGGAAUGCGCAGGGUAGCGGUGAAAUGCUUAGAUAUUGCGCAGAACUCCGAUUGCGAAGGCAGCAUACAGGCGGGGAUCUGACGCUGAGGCACGAAAGCGUGGGUAUCGAACAGGAUUAGAUACCCGGGUAGUC